rnacentral:rRNA from 1 species
CCCUUAGAUGUUCUGGGCCCCACGCGCGCUACACUGAUGCAUUCAACGAGUUUCUUCCUGGUCCGAGAGGAAUGGGUAACCUUUUGAAAGUGCAUCGUGAUAGGGAUAGACUAUUGCAAUUAUUGGUCUUCAACGAGGAAUUCCUAGUAGACGUAGUUCAUCAGACUGCAUCGAUUACGUCCCUGCCCUUUGUACACACCGCCCGUCGCUCCUACCGAUUGAAUGCUCAGGUGAGCCAUUCGGACUUUCAUCAUGCUGGUUUCCAGUUUUGAUGAAGGAAAGUCUUGCGAACCUUAUCAUUUAGAGGAAGGAGAAGUCGUAACA